rnacentral:rRNA from 1 species
AGAGUUUGAUUAUGGCUCAGGAUGAACGCUAGCUACAGGCUUAACACAUGCAAGUCGAGGGGCAGCAUUGGAGUAGCAAUACUUCAGAUGGCGACCGGCGCACGGGUGAGUAACACGUAUCCAACCUGCCGCUUACUCGGGGAUAGCCUUUCGAAAGAAAGAUUAAUACCCGAUGGUAUAAAGAGUUCGCAUGUUCUCUUUAUUAAAGAAUUUCGGUAAGCGAUGGGGAUGCGUUCCAUUAGAUAGUUGGCGGGGUAACGGCCCACCAAGUCUACGAUGGAUAGGGGUUCUGAGAGGAAGGUCCCCCACAUUGGAACUGAGACACGGUCCAAACUCCUACGGGAGGCAGCAGUGAGGAAUAUUGGUCAAUGGACGAGAGUCUGAACCAGCCAAGUAGCGUGAAGGAUGACUGCCCUAUGGGUUGUAAACUUCUUUUAUAAGGGAAUAAAGUGAGGGACGUGUCCCUUUUUGUAUGUACCUUAUGAAUAAGGAUCGGCUAACUCCGUGCCAGCAGCAGC